CCUACGGGGGGCUGCAGUGGGGAAUAUUGCACAAUGGGGGGAACCCUGAUGCAGCGACGCCGCGUGAGUGAAGAAGUAUUUCGGUAUGUAAAGCUCUAUCAGCAGGGAAGAAGAUGACGGUACCUGACUAAGAAGCCCCGGCUAACUACGUGCCAGCAGCCGCGGUAAUACGUAGGGGGCAAGCGUUAUCCGGAUUUACUGGGUGUAAAGGGAGCGUAGGCGGCAGGGCAAGUCUGGAGUGAAAGCCCGGGGCUCAACCCCGGAACUGCUUUGGAAACUGCCAUGCUGGAGUGCGGGAGAGGUAAGCGGAAUUCCUAGUGUAGCGGUGAAAUGCGUAGAUAUUAGGCAGAACUCCAGUGGCGAAGGCGGCUUACUGGACAGUAACUGACGUUGAGGCUCGAAAGCGUGGGGAGCAAACAGGAUUAGAUACCCGAGUAGUC
rnacentral:rRNA from 1 species